UUUAGCUUUUUCGAACGUUAGUGGCGAAAGGGUGAGUAACACGUGAGUAAUCUACCCUAAGGAUUGGGAUAACUUGUCGAAAGACAGGCUAAUACCGGAUAAGACCACGAUCUCUUCGGAGAUUGAGGUCAAACGAUGGGGACCCCGCAAGGGGCCUAUCGCCUUUGGAGGAGCUCGCGGCCUAUCAGCUAGUUGGUGGGGUAAUGGCCUACCAAGGCAAUGACGGGUAGCUGGCCUGAGAGGGUGGUCAGCCACAUCGGGACUGAGACACUGCCCGGACUCCUACGGGAGGCUGCAGUCGAGAAUCUUUCGCAAUGGAGGAAACUCCGAUGAAGCGACGCCGCGUGCAGGAUGAAGGCCUUCGGGUCGUAAACUGCUGUCACCCGGGACGAAUGGUACCGGAGUGAACAACUCUGAUACUUGGCGGUACCGGGAGAGGAAGCCACGGCUAACUCUGUGCCAGCAGCCGCGGUAAUACAGAGGUGGCUAGCGUUGUUCGGAUUCAUUGGGUGUAAAGGGUGCGUAGGCGGCCCGAAAAGUCAGAUGUGAAAGCCUAGAGCUUAACUCUAGAAUUGCAUUUGAAACUCUCGGGCUCGAGUGUGGAAGAGGUGAAGGGAAUUCCCGGUGUAAGGGUGAAAUCUGCAGAGAUCGGGAGGAACACCAGUAGCGAAGGCGCUUCACUGGUCCACAACUGACGCUGAUGGCACGAAGGCGUGGGGAGCAAACGGGAUUAGAUACCCCGGUAGUCCACGCAGUAAACGAUGUUCACUAGGUGUCGGCUCCGCUUUAGGGGUCGGUGCCGCAGCUAACGCAUUAAGUGAACCACCUGGGGAGUACAGUCGCAAGGCUGAAACUCAAAGGAAUUGACGGGGACCCGCACAAACGGUGGAGCAUGUGGUUUAAUACGACGAUACGCGUGGAACCUCACCCAGGCUUGACAUGUA
rnacentral:rRNA from 1 species